rnacentral:piRNA from 1 species
UGAGGUUCAGGACACAGGGCUCACC